UACGGAGGGUGCGAGCGUUAUCCGGAUUCACUGGGUUUAAAGGGUGCGUAGGUGGGAAUGUAAGUCAGUGGUGAAAUCUCUGAGCUUAACUCAGAAACUGCCAUUGAUACUAUGUUUCUUGAAUUUUCUGGAGGUCAGCGGAAUAUGUCAUGUAGCGGUGAAAUGCUUAGAUAUGACAUAGAACACCAAUUGCGAGGGCAGCUGGCUACAGGGAUAUUGACACUGAGGCACGAAAGCGUGGGGAUCAAACAGG
rnacentral:rRNA from 1 species